UUUUGUUGAAUAUCCUCUUGAAAUUUUUCAAAACGAAGAAACUCUUUUAUUUAGGAGAAAUUACUUCUAACUUUUGUCUAAAAAUAGAUAGAUCUUCAUAGAUUUUAUCAGAGAGAGUUUUGGGCGGAGUGAAACCGCCUACCCACUUUUCAUUUCCUCCACAACCUCACCUAACCAUUAUCAUAUACGCACUGUUGCUGCACAUUUACCAAUGCAAUUUGUAGCAUAUAAGAAUGUUUUCACUUGAAGGAUUUCUAGAUUCCGCUGAUGUUCUUAGACAACUCCUCUUUCAAAUUUACGUCAUUUCUCUUGGUUGAAAGUGCCGCUUCUUAUAUGAUAGUCUUCUUAACGCCUACAAUUUUCAUUUGGGUUUCUCAACAGUUUGAAACGCAUCAAUUAAAUUGAACUGCAUUUGUGAGCUAAAAUGGCAGUCCUUAAGCUCCCAGGUGCAGUAACGUGUGGAACUAGUGGUAGAGAACUUGCAGGAGGAACGUUAAAGAAAGCUUUUUUAGUUAAGAUUUCAACAUGGAACAAAAAUCAUGGUCGUUAUCUUGGAUCAAGAUUUGCAAAAAGGUCUAGAUUGGACAAUGUUGUUAAGAAUUGUGGGUUAUCAAGUGAUGAAGAUGCUGCGGAGUACAAGCUAGAUUCUUCUCAUCUUGAAGAGAAGUUUGGCUCAACCAGAGAUCGACUCUUAAAUGGGUCUUCAAGUGAUGGAGCUAUUGCAUUGUCAGGGACAUCUGUUGAUCAAUCGCCAACUCAGGAUGUACAAACCGAGCUUAUAAUGCUUUCUCUGCCUGCUAUUGCUGGACAAGCAAUUGAGCCGUUGGCACAGCUAAUGGAGACAGCUUAUAUUGGACGAAUGGGUGCAUUGGAGUUAGCAUCAGCUGGCAUUUCGGUAUCAAUUUUUAAUAUAAUAUCUAAGGUGUUCAACAUCCCUCUUCUGAGUGUGGCAACAUCUUUUGUGGCUGAAGACAUCUCUAAGUAUGCAGAUAAGGAUUCAGCUGCUGCAGCUGAAAGAAAGGCACUUCCGUCUGUCUCCACUGCCUUAGUUUUAUCUGCUGGGAUCGGUUUGAUUGAAGCUGUAGCAAUGUAUCUCGGUUCUGGACCAUUUCUCAGCAUCAUGGGUAUAUCAAUGGAUUCAACCAUGCGAAUUCCAGCGGAGCUUUUUCUUAAACUUAGAGCACUUGGUGCUCCAGCUGUUGUGCUUUAUCUGUCUGUACAAGGCAUCUUCCGUGGUUUUAAGGACACAAGGACCCCUGUAAUAUGCUUAGGAUUGGGGAAUCUGUCAGCUGUAGUUUUCUUUCCCAUAUUCAUGUGUACUUUAAAACUGGGCAUCACUGGUGCAGCCAUUUCUACUGUUGCAUCUCAAUAUAUUGUGGCCAUUUUGAUGUUAUGGCAUCUUAAUAAAAAGACUGUAUUGCUGCUGCCAAGCAUUAAGAACUUGCGUUUUGGUGGCUAUUUAAAAUCGGGUGGUUUCCUUCUUGGGAGAACAUUAGCUGCUGUUGUUACAGUAACUUUGAGCACAUCAAUGGCGGCUCGAUUAGGAGCAAUACCCAUGGCCGCCCAUCAGAUAUGCUUGCAAGUAUGGUUGUCUGCCUCGCUACUAGCAGAUGCUCAAGCUGCAUCUGGUCAGGCUCUCAUUGCAAGUUCUUUUGCAAGGAAGGACUACGGUAGAGUUAAGUUGAUCACACAUGUAGCUUUAAAGACAGGAUUAGCUACUGGAAUUUUGUUAGCCAUUAUAUUGGGUCUAUCCUUUCCGUCUUUCGCGAAGUGCUUUACAAACGACUCUCAAGUGCUAGACAUUGUUAGAUCUGGUUUACUGUUUGUUAGUGCCAGUCAACCCCUUAAUGCUUUAGCCUAUAUAUUUGAUGGGCUACACUAUGGUGUUUCGGAUUUCCCGUAUGCAGCUAUCUCAAUGAUGAUCGUGGGUGCUCUCGCUUCAAUAUUCCUGCUUUAUGCUCCUCCUAUUAUUGGUCUUCCUGGUGUUUGGUCUGGUUUGACUAUUUUCAUGGGGUUGCGCUCUGUGGCUGGUUUCAUGAGAUUAUCAGCAAAAAAUGGUCCAUGGUGGUUCCUACAGGACUCGCAACAAAAUGAGGUUGCAACAUCAUAGGACUGCUUCGAGAUUAGAGGCUACAGACAUUUCAAAUGAAGUGAAAGCUCAGGGAAUGUAGCUACAAUUGCAGAAUGGACCAAAAAAAGUCGAUUGAAUACAUAAAUCAGCUAUGUGUAUCCCAAUUGGGGGAACAGAUCAUUUCUCUUGCUGGAACAUAACUUGAAGAUACAAAUGAAUGUUAUUACCAGCAAUAUUGAAUGACCCUUCAAAGAAGCAAGCCAAGUGGCUUCUUCAUUUUGUUCAGAACAGACUGCCCAAGGCUUUUGCUUUCUCCCUAAUUAGAAAUUUCUCUAUCUUUUCAGUCGCAAGUUUUAGAAGUUCCUGAAAUGUAACUGUCCAAGGUGCCAUGUAAUGAGGCAGAUUAUCCCUGCAGAAGUUGAUAGUUUCUUGAGGUCUAACAUCGGAUCCCUCCUUCAACUUAGCAAAUUCACAAGGUGCCAGUGGUUAUCUGGUCGUGCAACUACUGCUGCUUCAGUAACUGCUGGAUGACUAUACAAGGCCCUUUCCACCUCAACUGUGCUUAUAUUCUCUCCACCAUAGAUUAUGUUAUCUUUCAAACGAUCGUUCACUUCUAGUAGCCAUCAGGAUGUUCGAUGGCAAGAUCACCACUCUGAAACAUCCACCUCUAAAAGCUUCCUCUGUUGCCUUUUGAUCUUUUAAAUAUCCACUCAUUACUGUAUUCCCUCUAAAUAUAACUUCUACCAUUGUUACACCAUCUGUGGGCACCUUCUUCAUGGUGAUAGAAUCUCUUACAUCAACUUCCUCAAUACAGAGAUGCGGCUCUCCUUGUCUUGCUUUCACUAUAAAUCUUUCACCUGAAGGCAAAGAAUCCCACUCAGGCUUCCAAAAGCAAUAUGUAUCUGAAGGGUUAAUUUCACGCAUGAGCACUGAAUUUUAUUCACUAUAACAGUGGAGUCGCCGAAUGUUGUCGCAUUAAAGUAAUUGAACUUUACUCACGAUAUUAGUGAAGUCACAAAACUGUUUUUUAUGGCUUCAUUGUUGUAGUAAGUAUAGUUCAGUGAUCAUCCGUAAAAAUUAAUCUUGUACCUGCAGCAUAUGUCUCUGUUAGCCCAUAGAAGCGAUUUACUACAAACCCCAACUCCUCCAUUCUUGAAAUGAUUUUGGUGGUGGUGGUGAACCAGCUGUCAUAAUCCUCACCUUGUGUGGAGGUGGCUUCUGGUCACACGAUGGCGUAUUCACUAUCAUGUUCAAGACAGUAGAUGUGUUGGUGAGCAAGAUAUCAAAUCCAAAGUAUGAAAAUGAAGAUGACACAGGAGAUAGGUUGGAAAUUGGUUUCCAAAUAUGGACUUUGUAAGAAGAAUUGGACACUUAUAUCCUUAUUCAUCAUCACCGUCCAUUUAUAUUAUGAUGGAUUAAAUCACAACCCUUCAUUUAUUACCUUUGUAAAUAGGAGUUGUUGUAUGCCACGACAUCUGUACAUAUUCACACGAUGUAAAGCACACACACUUAGUGGAUUUAGGAUAAGUUCAAGUAUUUAUCUUUGCACAUUUUUGUAUAGUUUGUUAUUAGGUAGCCAAUAGAAAUAGGACAAAUGUAUGCAUAGGAUUGGUUCCUGCUUUUAGUUUUAUAUUAUAAAUUCUUGUACAGAUAAUUAUCAGGAAUACACAACAUUUCUUCUUAAUUUUUUCAUCAUGGUAUCAAAGCUUUAA